GAUGAAGAACGCAGCGAAAUGCGAUACUUGGUGUGAAUUGCAGAAUCCCGUGAACCAUCGAGUCUUUGAACGCAAGUUGCGCCCGAAGCCAUCAGGUUGAGGGCACGUCUGCCUGGGCGUCACAUAUCGUUGCCCAAUGCCUAUUGCAGUGCAAUAGGAAUUUCUAGGGCGAAUGAUGGCUUCCCGUGAGCGUUGUUGCCUCGCGGUUGGUUGAAAAUCGAGUCCUUGGUAGGGUGUGCCAUGGUAGAUGGUGGUCGAGUUAGAACUAUACCGAUCAUGUGCAUGCUCCCCAAAAUAUGGCCUCUAUGACCCACGCGCGUCUUUUGACGCUCAUGACGAGACCUCAGGUCAGGCGGGGCUACCCGCUGAAUUUAAGCAUAUCAAUAAGCGGAGGA
rnacentral:misc_RNA from 1 species